AUUGAACGCAGGCGGCAGGCCUAACACAUGCAAGUCGAACGAGAACGGGUUAUAGCUUGCUAUAAUUGUCAGCUAAGUGGCGCACGGGUGAGUAAUGUAUAGGUAAUAUGCCUCUUACUAAGGGAUAACAAAUGGAAACGUUUGCUAAUACCUUAUACUCCUUAUUAACAGAAGUUAAUAAGGGAAAGAUUUAUUGGUAAGAGAUUAGCCUGUAUUGUAUCAGUUAGUUGGUGGGGUAAUGGCUUACCAAGACUAUGACACAUAACUGGUUUGAGAGGAUGAUCAGUCACACUGGAACUGAGACACGGUCCAGACUCCUACGGGAGGCAGCAGUGGGGAAUAUUGCACAAUGGACGAAAGUCUGAUGCAGCAACGCCGCGUGGAGGAUGACACAUUUCGGUGCGUAAACUCCUUUUAUAUGAGAAGAUAAUGACGGUAUUAUAUGAAUAAGCACCGGCUAACUCCGUGCCAGCAGCCGCAGUAA
rnacentral:rRNA from 1 species